UCCCUGGUGGUCCAAUGGUUGGGAAUCUGUCCUCUCAAUGCAGGGGGCCCGGGUUCGAUCCCUGGUCAGCGAA
rnacentral:tRNA from 1 species